rnacentral:rRNA from 1 species
CAGUAGCCGCGGGAACACAGAGGGUGCAAGCGUUAAUCGGAAUUACUGGGCGUAAAGCGCGCGUAGGUGGUUCGCCAAGUUGGAUGUGAAAUCCCCGGGCUCAACCUGGGAACUGCAUCCAAAACUGGCGAGCUAGAGUAUGGUAGAGGGUGGUGGAAUUUCCUGUGUAGCGGUGAAAUGCGUAGAUAUAGGAAGGAACAUCAGUGGCGAAGGCGACCACCUGGACUGAUACUGACACUGAGGUGCGAAAGCGUGGGGAGCAAACAGGAUUAGAUACCCCAGUAGUCCCUGUCUCUUAUAC